GAUGAACGCUGGCGGCGUGCCUAAUACAUGCAAGUCGAGCUAACGGACGAGAAGCUUGCUUCUCUGAUGUUAGCGGCGGACGGGUGAGUAACACGUGGAUAACCUACCUAUAAGACUGGGAUAACUUCGGGAAACCGGAGCUAAUACCGGAUGAUAUUUUGAACCGCAUGGUUCAAAAGUGAAAGACGGUCUUGCUGUCACUUAUAGAUGGAUCCGCGCUGCAUUAGCUAGUUGGUAAGGUAACGGCUUACCAAGGCAACGAUGCAUAGCCGACCUGAGAGAGUGAUCGGCCACACUGGAACUGAGACACGGUCCAGACUCCUACGGGAGGCAGCAGUAGGGAAUCUUCCGCAAUGGGCGAAAGCCUGACGGAGCAACGCCGCGUGAGUGAUGAAGGUCUUCGGAUCGUAAAACUCUGUUAUUAGGGAAGAACAUAUGUGUAAGUAACUGUGCACAUCUUGACGGUACCUAAUCAGAAAGCCACGGCUAACUACGUG
rnacentral:rRNA from 1 species